rnacentral:rRNA from 1 species
GGGGGAAUCUUCCGCAAUGGGCGAAAGCCUGACGGAGCAACGCCGCGUGAGGGAUGAAGGCCUCUGGGCUGUAAACCUCUUUUCUCAAGGAAGAAGAUCUGACGGUACUUGAGGAAUAAGCCACGGCUAAUUCCGUGCCAGCAGCCGCGGUAAUACGGGAGUGGCAAGCGUUAUCCGGAAUUAUUGGGCGUAAAGCGUCCGCAGGCGGCUUUGUAAGUCUGUCGUUAAAGCGUGGAGCUUAACUCCAUUUCGGCGGUGGAAACUGCAAGGCUUGAGUGUGGUAGGGGCAGAGGGAAUUCCCGGUGUAGCGGUGAAAUGCGUAGAUAUCGGGAAGAACACCAGUGGCGGAAGGCGCUCUGCUGGGCCAUAACUGACGCUCAUGACGAA